UAAGAGAAGGAUGUUUUUCAGCACCAAAAACACCUCUGAGGUAAAUCAUUUGGGAUUUCAGAAGAUUAGAAAACGAGCAAGAGUGAGGAAAUGCUUCCCAACCAGAGUUGUGCAGGUGUUUAAAUAAAUUUCAGUGAGGAGGAGCCUGGGGACAGAUGCAGAGCUCGGGCAGACACAGUUUUGCUGGUGAUUCAACCCAAAAAUAGAGCCAAGCAAAGAAACAAGCAGUGCUCCAAAGGCUUGC